rnacentral:rRNA from 1 species
GACGAACGCUGGCGGCGUGCUUAACACAUGCAAGUCGAACGGUAAGGCCCCAGCUUGCUGGGGUACACGAGUGGCGAACGGGUGAGUAACACGUGGGUGACCUGCCCCGCACUUCGGGAUAAGCCUGGGAAACUGGGUCUAAUACCGGAUAGGACCGCACCGUGAGGGUGUGGUGGAAAGUUUUUCGGUGUGGGAUGGGCCCGCGGCCUAUCAGCUUGUUGGUGGGGUAAUGGCCUACCAAGGCGGCGACGGGUAGCCGGCCUGAGAGGGUGGACGGCCACAUUGGGACUGAGACACGGCCCAGACUCCUACGGGAGGCAGCAGUGGGGAAUAUUGCACAAUGGGCGGAAACCUGAUGCAGCGACGCCGCGUGGGGGAUGACGGCCUUCGGGUUGUAAACUCCUUUCACCAUCGACGAAGGUUUUCUGACGGUAGAUGGAGAAGAAGCACCGGCUAACUACGUG